CGGGUGAGUAACGCGUGAGCAAUCUGCCCAUAUCAGGGGAAUAACAGUUAGAAAUGACUGCUAAUACCGCAUAGGACCACGGGGAGGCAUCUCUCUGAGGUGAAAGAUUUAUCGGAUAUGGAUGAGCCCGCGUCCCAUUAGGUAGUUGGUGAGGUAACGGCCCACCAAGCCGACGAUGGGUAGCCGGCCUUAGAGGGUGAUCGGCCACAUUGGAACUGAGACACGGUCCAAACUCCUACGGGAGGCAGCAG
rnacentral:rRNA from 1 species